CAUUAUUUUGGUAAUUCUCAAUAACUUUCACUCAGUUGGCAUCGAUUUUUCAAAUUAGUUUGCAUGUUGCAGAAUUCCAUAGUGUAUGACCAUAUGAUACGAUUCAUGUUUUUGUGGUAUAGGUGCUGAUCACUAAGGAUGUUUUGUACUCUUCUGAUUUUGGGUUAUAUCCUCUCAGAUUCGUCAUGUUCAUGUGGCACAAUCAUAAUUGCUGAAGAUAUUUUGUGUUCUUUCACUUCUAGGUGAUAUCUAUUGCUUCAAUUCUUCGUAAAAAUAUGUCUGAGAAGUUGAAUGUAGUUCUGUUUAAAAUGGGCCCCA
rnacentral:lncRNA from 1 species